CCCCCAGCAGCCCCGCCUACCAGCACAGAGAUCACGGGCUGGCAGCCCAGAGCGGGCAGUGUGAGGGACGGGAGGAGAGCAGCCCCGGGAGGGAUCAGGGGCCGGUAGAAGUAGCUGAUGAAGAAGAGGAUAUAGAGAUAGUUGUUGUAUAGAUAGUUAGAGGGUAUGAUGAUAGUUGAUAGCGACGUAGAUAGUUAGUGGGUAGCAGGGUAGUUGAUAGUGACGCAGACAGAUAGUGGGUAGCAGGGUAGUUGAUAGCGACGUAGAUAGAUCAUAGUGACGUAGAUAGCUGAUAGCGAUGUAGAUAGUGAGAUAGAUAGCUGAUGGUGGAGAGGUAGUGAACAGAUAGCAGAUAGCUAGGUGGGUUAUUGGUAGAUCAUAGAUCAUAGCCAGAUAGCUGAUAGGGGGAUGGAGGAUAGAAAGAUGGGUGACUGAAAGGUAGUUAAUUUAUAGAGUAUGAUAUAGAAAGUUGCUAAAAAGAAUCUCUGUUUCAGAUGAGCCACUGCAUCCUGGGACACCACUCUCCCCUCCAGUACGAUGAAGACCAACGCCUGAUGCUGCUCCAUCACCAGCAGAAGAACAGCAGCUCUGCAGAGACCCGUCCUGCCAGCAGAGCAUCACGGAGAAGAAGACGCGCCUUCUGCUCACAGGAAGACGAGACCUUGCACUUCACUUGACCCCCUCCUCCAGGAGGAAGCAGGAUCAGCGCCCGGUGCUGCCCCAGUGCCGGCAGAAGAACAGCGGCUCUUGGAAGCGUGACCUGCUGGGAGAUCGUCGGGGAGAAGAGGACGCGCCUUCUGCGCCGAGGGAGCCUUCUCCUGUAAUCCCACCUUCAAUGAGACGAUGCUCAGCUGCUCCGGAACAGCCACGGAGGGAACGGACGGAAGAGGAGAGCCCAGAUGACUGCGCCCGUGUGAAGUGCCAUGCAGAGACUGAAUGCAGAGACUGAGCCAGCAAACAACGGAGUAGAUAGCAUAGAGAAUUAGUUAACACUAAAAUGUAUUAGUAUAGCAUAGUGCAGUUGUCAAAUAGCUUUGUAAAUAAAUUCACUUUGUUUGUAUCCUUAUCUUGUGUUGUGUAAAAUGAUGGGGAUGGGUAGUCUGAUACUUCAGG
rnacentral:lncRNA from 1 species